rnacentral:rRNA from 1 species
UCGACGGUGAGAGGCGAAAGCUGGGGGAGCAAACCGGAUUAGAUACCCGGGUAGUCCCAGCUGUAAACUAUGCAAACUCAGUGAUGCAUUGGCUUGUGGCCAAUGCAGUGCUGCAGGGAAGCCGUUAAGUUUGCCGCCUGGGAAGUACGUACGCAAGUAUGAAACUUAAAGGAAUUGGCGGGGGAGCACCACAAGGGGUGAAGCCUGCGGUUCAAUUGGAGUCAACGCCAGAAAUCUUACCCGGAGAGACAGCAGAAUGAAGGUCAAGCUGAAGACUUUACCAGACAAGCUGAGAGGUGGUGCAUGGCCGUCGCCAGCUCGUGCCGUGAGAUGUCCUGUUAAGUCAGGUAACGAGCGAGAUCCCUGCCUCUAGUUGCCACCAUUACUCUCAGGAGUAGUGGGGCGAAUUAGCGGGACCGCCGCAGUUAAUGCGGAGGAAGGAAGGGGCCACGGCAGGUCAGUAUGCCCCGAAACUCUGGGGCCACACGCGGGCUGCAAUGGUAACGACAAUUGGUUUCGAAUCCGAAAGGAUGAGGUAAUCCUCAAACGUUACCACAGUUAUGACUGAGGGCUGCAACUCGCCCUCACGAAUAUGGAAUCCCUAGUAACUGCGUGUCAUUAUCGCGCGGUGAAUACGUCCCUGCUCCUUGCACACACCGCCCGU